GAUGAACGCUAGCUACAGGCCUAACACAUGCAAGUCGAGGGGAAACGGGAGCGUAGCUUGCUAUCUUGGCCUGCGACCGGCGCAAGGGGGAGUAACGCGUAUCCAACCUGCCAUCCAGCAGGGGAGAGGCUUGCGAAAGAAACUAUAAUACUCCAUGACCUCCUCAGAGGACAUCUUACUAGGAGCUAAGAUCUAUCGAUAGUUGAUGGGGAUGCUUCUGAUGAGGCAGUGGGCGGGGUAACGGCCCACCAAACCGACGAUCAGUAGGGGUUCUGAGAGGAAGGUCCCCCACAUUGGAACUGAGAAACGGUCCAAACUCCGACGGGAGGCAGCAGUGAGGAAUACUGGUCAAUGGACGUAAGUCUGAACCAGCCAAGUAGCGUGCAGGAUGACGGCCCUAUGGGUUGUAAACUGCUUGUAUGCGGGGGUAAAGUGAGUGACGUGUCAUUCAUUGCAAGUACCGCAAGAAUAAGGACCGGCUAAUUCCGUGCCAGCCGCCGCCGUAA
rnacentral:rRNA from 1 species